rnacentral:rRNA from 1 species
AGAGUUUGAUCAUGGCUCAGGAUGAACGCUAGCGGCAGGCUUAACACAUGCAAGUCGAGGGGUAACAGGAGUAGCUUGCUACUUGCUGACGACCGGCGCACGGGUGCGUAACGCGUAUAGAAUCUACCUUGUACUAGGGGAUAGCCUUUGGAAACGAAGAUUAAUACCCUAUAGUAAGUAUUUAUGGCAUCAUUUAUACUUUAAAGGUUACGGUACAAGAUGACUAUGCGUCCUAUUAGUUUGUUGGUGAGGUAACGGCUCACCAAGACUUCGAUAGGUAGGGGCCCUGAGAGGGGGAUCCCCCACACUGGUACUGAGACACGGACCAGACUCCUACGGGAGGCAGCAGUGAGGAAUAUUGGACAAUGGAGGCAACUCUGAUCCAGCCAUGCCGCGUGCAGGAUGACGGCCCUAUGGGUUGUAAACUGCUUUUAUGUAGGAAGAAACACUCUCACGUGUGAGAGCUUGACGGUACUACAAGAAUAAGGACCGGCUAACUCCGUGCCAGCAGCCGCGGUAAUACGGAGGGUCCAAGCGUUAUCCGGAAUCAUUGGGUUUAGAGGGUCCGUAGGCGGGCUAUUAAGUCAGAGGUGAAAGUUUGCAGCUCAACUGUAAAAUUGCCUUUGAAACUGGUAGUCUUGAAUUAUUAUGAAGUGGUUAGAAUAAGUAGUGUAGCGGUGAAAUGCAUAGAUAUUACUUAGAAUACCAAUUGCGAAGGCAGAUCACUAAUAAUAUAUUGACGCUGAGGGACGAAAGCGUGGGGAGCGAACAGGAUUAGAUACCCUGGUAGUCCACGCCGUAAACGAUGGAUACUAGCUGUUCGGAUUUAUCUGAGUGGCUAAGCGAAAGUGAUAAGUAUCCCACCUGGGGAGUACGUUCGCAAGAAUGAAACUCAAAGGAAUAGACGGGGGCCCGCACAAGCGGUGGAGCAUGUGGUUUAAUUCGAUGAUACGCGAGGAACCUUACCAGGGCUUAAAUGUAGUCUGACAGGCGUGGAAACAUGCUUUUCUUCGGACAGAUUACAAGGUGCUGCAUGGUUGUCGUCAGCUCGCGCCGUGAGGUGUCAGGUUAAGUCCUAUAACGAGCGCAACCCCUGUUGUUAGUUGCCAGCGAGUCAUGUCGGGAACUCUAACAAGACUGCCAGUGCAAACUGUGAGGAAGGUGGGGAUGACGUCAAAUCAUCACGGCCCUUACGUCCUGGGCCACACACGUGCUACAAUGGUAGGUACAGAGAGCAGCCACUGCGCGAGCAGGAGCGAAUCUACAAAACCUAUCUCAGUUCGGAUCGGAGUCUGCAACUCGACUCCGUGAAGCUGGAGUCGCUAGUAAUCGGAUAUCAGCCAUGAUCCGGUGAAUACGUUCCCGGGCCUUGUACACACCGCCCGUCAAGCCAUGGAAGCUGGGGGUACCUGAAGUCGGUCACCGCAAGGAGCCGCCUAGGGUAAAACUGGUAACUAGGGCUAAGUCGUAACAAGGUA